AUAUCAUAUCAGAUGAAAAGCCCAAUCAAAAUCCUAUACUAAGAGAAGCCAAUAGCUUCUUUAUCAUGCAACACAGAAAAACUCCGUCUUUGGCCAAAGUACUAAGGCCAUGACAUGCUAGAACUAGUGGUGUAAGCAGUAGAUAAGGAGUAAAGCCAUGGCAGUCAUGAGAACCAAAAUAGUGGAGCCAAUGAAGCAGCAGCUGCACCAUCGAAACACGAUGAGCAAUGAUGACUCAGAUUGCCUGACGUCCCACUCGCGCCUUACUGUCGCACCACUGACGAUCAGAAUUUUAGAGUUCACAUGACUCCGGUUUGUGGUGUAUGCAUAUGUGGUGAUGCUAGUAUUGCAACUCCAUCUAGGGAUUGGACUGUGAGGUUUUGGUCGCUUGACCCAUCAGAAGAGCGCAAGUAUUGGUCGUCAAGAAUCUUGUUUGGACAUUCAAGUUUUGUAGGUCCAUUGGCUUGGAUUCCACCAAAUGAAGAGUACCCAGAAGGUGGGAUUGGGUCUGGCGGCAUGGAAAUACUGGUUUCGUUUGGAACAAUUGCAAGUCAGUGGCAGUGCAUUGGAUAAUGGGGACAUUGUGUCAUCCUCUGUUGAUUGGCUAUUUCAUUUGGUUGGGACCACUGGUUAACUUGAUUGAAAAUUUUGACUAUGCUUCUGCUUUCGCUUAAUAUGUGACCUAUCAUCCUCUUUGGCUUUCUUCAUUGGAGUACUUUGACAUGAUGGAGGAAAAGCCAGGUAAUUGAGUCCUGGGGUUGGGAGGCUCAUAAGUCAGCUAUGCAGGCAGUUAUCUGGCGAGCUUGUUACAGGUUCAAGUGACGCCACUUUAAAACUUUGGAGAGGAAGGACAUGCGUUCGCACUUUUGUGGGGCAUACAGGCUAAGUUUUCUGCUUUUCUUUCAAACAUACUGUGUUACUGCUUCAUUGUAAUCAUGAAAUGAUCUGGUAAAAAAUGGGAUGCUAUAGUUCUUUCAUGCAAUUUUGAGGCAAUCAUAUAGCCUGUUAAGGGGCAGUAGUAAUGACAAAAGUGUGGACAUGAUUUUGUUAGAAGUUACUAUGAUGAGGUUAGUGAUUUUUAAUAACUUCAUUUACUAGUGCUUGAAAGGAAGUGAAGGCAUAUUUUUUCAGUUCUUAACGGACAUAAAAUUCGCUAUUCUCAGUUCUGCAUUGUUUAUAUUUUCUCUUUGUAUGUUUGGAAUUACCUUCCUUUUCACUUUUUAACUCUCUACAUAAGCUUUUAAGUUUUGAACAGAUUUUAUCAUAUAUCAUAUGGUUUAACGAUGUUUAUAGGGUUUAUAUACGUUUCUGUUGAUAUUUAGUAGUUUUCCAUGGCAACACUCAUGUUGUGCCCAAAUUAUGAUUUUGUUAAUGCUCACUGGAAGUUGGGUUACUAUGCAUUGGAUGAUGAUUGAUGCACUCUAAGUCUCUAACUUGCAACAAUAAGAGAGCUUCCUAAGUCUGCCAGGAGAUCUUGGUCAAAUGUUUAGGAUAGCUUGUAUGCUUAUAAUAAAUUACUCACGAACUUUAAGAAUUGUGCAGAUACGGUUUGGGGCUUAGCAGAGAUGCAUGGAUUGGGUGUUCUUUCUGCAUCACAUAAUGGUUCAAUCAGGUUAUGGGUGCUAGCAGGCCAAGUAUUGAUGGAGAUGGUUGGUCAUACUUCCAUUGUCUAUUCAGUUGAUUCCUAUAUGUCUGGACUUAUUUAGAUUGGCGGUGAAGAUUGUUUGACCAAGAUAUGGAAAGAUGGAGUUUGUGUUCAUAGCAUAGAGCAUCCUGGUUGUGUUUGGGAAUUGGGAAAGAAGAUGGUGACGUUGUGACGGCAUGUUCAGAUGAAGUUUUAUGUGUUUGGACAUCACAUCAGGAUAUGAUUGGAGAUCCACUAGAUCUUGAGUCAUGUGUUUCCCAACUCUCUCAAUGCAAGUUAAGCAGUUUUGAUUUAUUUUUAUGAGGAAGAGGGUUGGAGGACUGAAAUUGGAAGAUUUGCCAGGGCUAGAUGCUUUACAGAUUCCAGGAACUACUGAUGGCCAGACAAAAAUUGUCAGAGAAGGGGACAAUGGUGUAGCAUAUGCUUGGAAUUUGAGAGAGCAGAAGUGGGAUAAAAUUGGCGAAGUUGUUGAUGGACCGGAUGAUGGCAUGAAGCGACCUGUUCUUGAUGGAAUUGAAUAUGAUUAUGUAUUUGAUGUUGAUAUCGGAGAUGGUGAACCCAUUCGAAAGUUGCCAUAUAAUCGAUCAGAUAAUCCAUACUCUGUUGCUGAUAAGUGGCUCAUCAAAGAGAAUCUUCCUCUUUCCUAUCGUCAACAAAUUGUAGAUUUCAUACUCCAAAAUUCUGGACAAAGAAGCAUUGCUCUUGAUUCAUCAUUCCGUGACCCAUACACUGGUGCAAGUGCUUAUGUACCUGGGCAACCUUCUAACUUGUCUGGUAUGCAUCUAUUGAUUGAAAAUGAUUUCAACUUUUGCUUAGCUUCUGUGCACUUGGGAUUUAGCUGCAGUAAUAGAAGGGUGGGAUUGCUGAUUGCUCUAAUAUGUAUUUUCUUGUUUAUACAACAGCUGUAUCAGCAAAGCCCACUUUCAAGCAUAUCCCCAAGGUAAAGCCCUUAAUGCUACUAGAAAGAUUUGGGAUGUAUAAUGUAUUAACCAUUCUUUAGUUAUCCUGUGUGUGAGAUUUUCCAUGUUUUGCUUAAAUAGUGAUUAAGUCAAAGUUUUGUCCUCAAAUAAAGGGGGUGCCACAAUUUUGUCUUUGCUGGAGGGACCUGGAAAACAGGGUAAAAAUGGGUAAGGAGGCUCUUAAGGUGUGUAUCAGCAAGUAGUCUUCAAUGCAGAAGUCAGUGGAUCUGAUGUAGUGACAGAAAAUUGAAAAAAAAGUUGGGAGCAUUAGAAAGAUGAGAGAGAGAGAGAGAUAGAGGGGGAGGGACGGAGUUUGUGAGGGAGGCCCCCCUACCUUUAUCCUACCUUUGAUAUCUGGGAGAGGAAGUGUGCAUCAGGUGAAUCGUCUAGUUGAUGAAACAUUGGUGGAGAUCUGGGGGAUGUAGACCUUCUUUAUCUUGUCCAUGUUUUGUUUGUUUGUUUCCUCUGAACUUAUAUCAGGUCAGACCUGGCUCAGCAGUGUCAAGGUUUGACUUGGUGAGAUGAUUGAUGCUGCAGAUAUUUGCCAACUUGUGUUCAGGUUGGUUUACCUAAUUGAGUCUGGCUCAGACAGGCAAGUGAUCUUGCCAUGUAAUCGGGUCUACUUUGCUAUAUUUUCUGUGCCAUGUAGCGAACAGCCUUGGCCAGCCUAACUUUUGUUGAAACUGAACUGGCCAUACUUUAAUGUGGGCACUGUCUCGCAUGCUCUUAUUGGAGGCCAGUCUUUAUAUUUUAUCAGGGGGAGUAUAUUUUAUUAUUCUAAUAAUUUUUAAUCCUCUUCAGUUAGAAUGCAUGUAAUAUGGCAGAUACAAAGAUGCAUAUGUGCCUUAAUUGAGUUUACUUCUUGACUUUAGAUUUGUUGUGUCAUAUUCUGUGGUGCAUUACUUUUAUGGGUUAACUUCUAUGUUCUUGAAAAUUUGCUGAGAAUUCAGUUAUUAAGCCCUUGACAUUAAGGAAGUAUAGGAAGUAAGCAAGCUAGAUAUGAACUGGACAGGAUGUAGAAUAGUUAAUUUGAUUCGUCAACUAAAGAUGAGGGUUCCGUAUUUAACUAAUACGAGCAUGGUGCACUAGCGUUCUCUCCAUAUUAAUACUUUAUUUCUAUUGAUGCUGAGAUGCGAUAAGUUAAAUUUAUUGGUAGUGAUCUUAUUUAUCUUUUUUGAGAAUUUUGUUUCCAGAAAGGAAUGCUAGUUUUUGAUGGGGCUCAAUUUGAUGGGAUCCUGAAAAAGAUAAAUGAGUUCAAUGAUGCUCUUCUAUCUGAACCAGUAGGAUGUUCUGCACUUUUACUUCUGUUAAUUUUCUACUACAUCAUUGUGGCUUAUACUUACAUAAUUAGUUAAUUGAAUAUCUUUUGUUUCUUUUGAAGGACAAAAAGAACUUGUCCUUGUCAGAGCUUGACAUAUCCAGACUUGGUGCAAUUGUUAAAAUUUUAAAGGACACUUCCCAUUAUCAUACUAGUAAAUUUGCAGAUGUUGAAAUUGCUUUGCUGUUGAAAUUAAUGAAAUCUUGGCCGGUAGCAAUGCUAUUUCCGGGUCAGUGUACAGCACUUUUUAAGGCUUUUGAUCUGUGGACCUUUUCUUGAGGUCUUCUUCAUUAAAUUGUUCUUUCUGAUAUUUUAAUCUUGUGCUUUACGUGGUGUCUGGUGCUGUUGAAUGAACAAGUCUCGUUUGAGCAGUCAUUGAAUCAUUUAUGGCACACAGCUGAUGUAUUUAGGAUUUGAUAAUGAAACUCCCUUUGAACUUUGCCAAAGAGCAAAUUUGAAUUUCGUUAUCAUAAAGAUGAAGUUAUAUGUUCAGGGAUUUAGAAUCAAUUAAAUGGUUGAUAUAUAUCUGCUAUUUAUGUAAAAUGCUUUUCUUGUUGAUUACCAUUUAACUUAAAUGCAAAUUUAUUGUGUUUGGUUUUAGUGGUACCAAUUACAUAAUGGAUUGUUCCCCCUCCAUAUCCAUGAAAUUUACCCAAUUAAGUAUAUUGUACCUUUUUUACAGUUAUAGAUAUCCUGAGGAUGAUCGUCUUACACCCAGAUGGGGCGAGUGCACUUCUCAAGCAUGUUGAGGAUGGAAGCGGUACAGUGACAUGCCCAUAUUGUGUUUUGUUUUAUAAUGACAAGAUAUACUAAUGGAAGUGAUUAAGAGAGUUACAACAAAUUCUCCGCUGCCUCCGAACCUUUUAACCAGCAUUCGUGUGGUAACUAACCUAUUCAAGAAUUCAUGCUAUCACAACUGGCUACUAAGGCAUCGCAGUGAGAUUCUUGAUGCAUUUUCAAGUUGUUAUUCAUCAUCAAACAAGAAUUUGCAUUUGUCUUAUUCUACCUUGAUACUCAAUUAUGCUGUUCUGUUAAUAGAAAAAAAGGGUCAAGAAGGUCAAUCACAAGUUCUUUCAGCUGCUCUUGAGAUUGCAGAAGAGGAAAAUGUAGAAGUUGAUUCAAAAUUCCGGGUUUUAGUUGCCAUUGGAUCACUGAUGCUUGAUGGUCUGGUGAAGCAAAUAGCUUUGGACUUUGAUGUUGAGAACAUUGCCAGAAUAGCUAAGACUUCUAGAGAUGCCAAGAUUGCUGAAGUUGGAGCUGACAUUGAACUGUUAAUAAAACAGCAUUGAAUCUGUUUCCUGGUUGAGGUUUGUGUAACAAUCAACACUUAGCAGGAACUCAUGAAAGGAACUCAUAAAAAGAAAUUAACAGCAUGAAUUGUUGUUUUAACCUUCAGUUGGAAGAGGAAACCUGGUCAUGAUAUCUAGAGAUAUGCAAGACAACGUUGAUUUGCAGCAAGUUGAUCUAUUAUGCUUGCAACUUUCUGGAAUGUUUUGCUGGACUUCUAAGUGAAGGUGUAAUGUGGUUAAAAAGAAAAGAAUAUAGUUACAAUUGGAUCCUUCAAUUGUAUCAGACCUAUGGACAAAGGAAAGCAAUUGCUGAUGAAUUCUGAAAAUUAUUUAGUUUUUAGCUGAACAAUCAUGUUCCUUGAUCAAUUUCUGUAUGUACUGCUUUUAUGCUUGACGUUAGAGCCAAUUAAUUGAGUUGCUUUAUUAUAGUUGAAACUGGUUAGCCGGG
rnacentral:misc_RNA from 1 species